rnacentral:sRNA from 1 species
AUAGGUGACGUGAUCCGCGCCAUAGACGUGACGAAGCAGCCGGAACAGGACGUCGAAGACGAUGAUCGGCCGUGCAUUGCCGAUAUGGGCGUAGUCGUAGACCGUCGGGCCGCAGACAUACAU